UUCUUUUGUUUCUCUUCCUCGGUUAUUCCUCUUCAUUUUCUUCUCUCUUAGCUCUUUUGUCUCCCAAACAACCUAAAUCCAUCGCUGCGACUGAUUCUUCACCUACGUUUCAAGCAAUUUGCAGAGAAUUAAUGACGGAAACGAAGAAUUAUAGUGGUUGUUUUUCACUUCCUCCAUAAGGUAUGUAGUAGAGAUGCAGAAAGGCAAGUUGUAGUUAACUUCACGGCAGAAUGGUUUGAAGUUGUUGAUUAAAGGGCGUGUGAUGCUAAAUUAAGAGGAUUUACCCCUUUUCCAUUCCUUCAUGGGUCAUAAAGUUUAGCAGUUAGUUAGUCUAGAUUUUGGCCUCUAAGGUGACACUGCACAAGGUGGAUCGAAGCCAGGAAGAGUUGAUACUGGGGCUACUGUGAGUGUUCCUUCAUUUGAUAACAAUUGCCGUGACAUAUUGGUGGACACUAGAACCGGAUGUUUUGGAACUUCUAAUUCUAAUUUUAUCUAAGCACCUGUAUUUUGUUGCUUUUAUUGUAUUUCUCAUUUUGUGGAUUUGUGUUUGAGAAACUAGAUGGGGGACACUUGCAGCAAUGUGUAUGUAUUUUCAAGAAAUUAGUGAACAUGGAGUGGGUUCUUUUUGUUUA